rnacentral:rRNA from 1 species
UACGUAGGGACCAAGCGUUGUUCGGAUUUACUGGGCGUAAAGGGCGCGUAGGCGGCAUAUUAAGUUAGCUGUGAAAUCUCCGAGCUUAACUCGGGACUGUCAGCUGAUACUGAUGUGCUAGAGUGCAGAAGGGGCAAUCGGAAUUCUUGGUGUAGCGGUGAAAUGCGUAGAUAUCAAGAGGAACACCUGAGGUGAAGACGGGUUGCUGGGCUGACACUGACGCUGAUAGCGCGAAAGCCAGGGGAGCAAACGGG